rfam:Myotis brandtii contig215961, whole genome shotgun sequence.
GGCAGUUCUCGGGUGACGCAUCCCGAAAUCCAGCUCCCUCCUCUCUGGUUCUGUGGUGCAUCACCCGAGAACCAGUGCA